UUUUAAGUGCUUUGGAUCGUCUAUUCAGAACAGGUACACUCGGGGCAUUUCCUUGAGGUUCCCAGCAGAUGAUCGCGGAUGUUUUUCCCCAACAGUUGGAGUUUGGUAUCUUAUCCCUGCAGAGUUGGUCUAAGCAUUGGAUUCUUCAAUCCCCAGCAGAUUCUCACUACUGUACUUCACCAAGCUUGUGUUUCAGACUAUACGCUCCCCAGUAGAGUCGACAAUGUCACACUAUAUAUCCCCAGCGGAGUU
rnacentral:lncRNA from 1 species